rnacentral:rRNA from 1 species
AGAGUUUGAUCAUGGCUCAGGACGAACGCUGGCGGCGUGCUUAACACAUGCAAGUCGAGCGGAAAGGCCCUUCGGGGUACUCGAGCGGCGAACGGGUGAGUAACACGUGAGUAAUCUGCCCCUAGCUCUGGGAUAGCUCCGGGAAACCGGGAUUAAUACCGGAUACGACCACCUUAGACAUCUUUUGUGGUGGAAAGAAUUUCGGCUAGGGAUGAGCUCGCGGCCUAUCAGCUUGUUGGUGGGGUAACGGCCUACCAAGGCGACGACGGGUAGCCGGCCUGAGAGGGCGACCGGCCACACUGGGACUGAGACACGGCCCAGACUCCUACGGGAGGCAGCAGUGGGGAAUAUUGCGCAAUGGGCGAAAGCCUGACGCAGCGACGCCGCGUGGGGGAUGAAGGCCUUCGGGUUGUAAACCCCUUUCAGCAGGGACGAAGCGAAAGUGACGGUACCUGCAGAAGAAGCGCCGGCUAACUACGUGCCAGCAGCCGCGGUAACACGUAGGGCGCAAGCGUUGUCCGGAAUUAUUGGGCGUAAAGAGCUCGUAGGCGGUCUGUUGCGUCCGCUGUGAAAACUCGGGGCUUAACCCCGAGCCUGCAGUGGAUACGGGCAGACUAGAGGUAGGUAGGGGAGAAUGAAAUUCCCGGUGUAGCGGUGAAAUGCGCAGAUAUCGGGAGGAACACCGGUGGCGAAGGCGGUUCUCUGGGCCUUACCUGACGCUGAGGAGCGAAAGCGUGGGGAGCGAACAGGAUUAGAUACCCCGGUAGUCC